UGCCUCACAUAUGUGAGGCAAGCGCUCUGCCACUGAGCCACAACCCCAGCCCGUAAAUUCUCUACUUUUAAGACAAGUUUAAUUAGGGAUAAUUCUGAUAUAAUAAAACACAUCCAUGGUGAGGACACAACUCAAUGACUGUUAGUUAAGUUGAAACGAUCCUAGGUGCACCCCUAUAAUCCCAGCAGCUCAGGAGGCUGAGGCAGGAGGAUCUCAAGUUCAAAGCCAGCAUCAGCAAUUUCGUGAGGUCCUAAGCAACUCAGCAAGACCUUGUCUCUAAAUAAAAUAUAAAAAAGGGCUAAAGAUGUGGCUCAGUGAUUAAAUGCCCCUAGGUUCAAUCCAGUACCAAAACAAAAAACAGAAACAAACAAACAAAACCCCACAAAACAAAAACCUGAUCCUAGUUUGAGGGCACUUCUGCCAACCCCUUGCAUCUAGCCUGGGUCUACCUCUAUUCUACCCACUUCCUGUCUGAAGAUUUGCUUUCAAUAGAAACUUCAUGGAGCUGGAAUCAUGACAGUACAGAUGUACUGCACUCCAUAUAUGCAUUCAACCUGUACGACUUAAUUUUAGUAUUUAUUGUAAUACGUUUUCUAGCAACAACUUCACUUCAUCUUUAUUCAUCUAGGAAUGUAUUUAUUUUCCCUUCAAUUUUGAAAAAUAGUUUGAAUAUGGAAUUUUUGGCAGUUUUCCCUUUCUUUGAUCAUGUCAUUCUACUGUCUUACCUCCUCCAUAGCUUUAGGUAUGUUGUUAAUCCUGUUGUCAUCAAUAAUCAGUUGUUAAUCCUGUGUCAUCCCAUUGUGAUGAGUAACUCCUCCCCUCAAGGAGUGGUUUUCCUGUCAGGACAGAGUUUCUUAAAUCUACAGAGAGUGUGUUUCGUGGGGGGUGUGAGGUAUCAUUCGCAUAGAGCAUGAGUUGACAGUGGGAAGUCAGUUUUGGGAGGAGUGAUUCUUCUCCUGUACAGGCAGCACCUUGGAAGAGGGCUCUGCAUUUCAUUUUCUUGCACCUGCUCAGAUCAAGUCAAUCUGACCUACACUUAGAGUCAAGUUGAAACCUUGACAUGCACAUGCAGGUCACUUUAGGCUGGCUGCCUGCCUCUCCUCCUGAACACCAGCCAGUCACUACUCUGUAAUGGGAGGAAGGCACAAUCCUGACCUGCUCAACCACUAGCAGUUGUUUGCUGAACGCAGGUCACUGAAGGGCCAAUUUGCCAAGACACCUUGACCUGAUUUGUGAAUGUGUGAUUUGAUUUGUCCACACCAUUGUUUUUAGAUACAAUCUUCCUAACUGCAUUCUCCAAAUGCAACUAUAUUAUUCCUGUAAAUAGAUCUCCUGAAUGAAUUCAGUGAAUAGAUUCUUCUAAAAAAUGGGACCAUGUUCCUUUUUAACACUUGAAAGAACAAUUCACCAAAUCCACUCAUGUCACAUUCAACUGGCAAAGAAACAUUUGGAAUGAGUUUGAGACUAGAAAGCUGCCAAUGUUGAUUGCUGUUCUGCUGCAAGGGGAGGCCAGAUGGACUGUUCAACACCACUGAGAAACUUCAACUUUUAUUGCUUUUGAAAUAAUGUAUCUUUAUCAAAGCUUGGUAACCUGUUGCUAAAUCUUUUCCAUCCCCAUGGGGAUGGAUACAAUGUUAAAGUCACCAUAGUACCAUUGUCAUGCUGACUUGCCCCAUCAUCAUCUGAACUUUGUCUCAGAAGCAUUCAGAAUUUGGUUUUAUGAGAGCAUUUAACCUGCAAUUUAUGUUAUUAAUUUUACUGCUUUUCACAGUUCCCAUUACACUAAGCAAUGAACUCAGGAGAACACACCUCCUUCAUUGCUGAGUAGAAUCCCCUGGUGUUCGUGUACUGAAGGGUGAAAUUCCAGGGAGCAGGAAGCCGCAUCCCAUUAUCAGUAAGGGAAAAUGAAUGGCAUCCCUCUGUGGCACAUACUUCAGGUUGCUCUCCCUCCACACACUAGGAGGGUCUUAUUUACAAGGUAGCAAAUGCCAGGGUUGAGUAGCACAAUGGGGCCUUUCAGACUAAGCCACUUGUGUAAUAGUUUUCUCUUGCAUAGAAAACAGUCAUGUA
rnacentral:lncRNA from 1 species